GAGUUUCAUUUCAGGGAAAAAUUUCUCUGUUCUGAGAUGCAGUUGGAAAGACUGAACUUUAAGUCAAUCUAAAGAACACAGAGAAAUAGAAUACUUAAUAUUGAAAACACUGAAAAUAAUGAGAACAGGAGAAGAAACUGGCUGCUUCAGAGCCAUAUUAGUAGUGUAGCAGAAAAUGAUGGGUGGAAUCUUUAAAGCUCAUGAAUAAAUUUGGAGCACAGUUUUCCGAAAAAUAGAAUGUCUGACUCCUCCUAUAAGGUAAACCUGAGAAACUUUGAGUAGUUCAUGUAUCCUAACUCAUAACAUCUGAUUUUUGUUCCAAGAUUCUGUAAGGCAUAACUAGAUAGACAUACGUUUAGCUUUUUGGAGGUCUCACUAUCUUUAUCUCUCAAAACUUCAAUACAGAUGCAACUCUUACUUCAGUAGUUUUCUUUUAGGAAUGCCAAUAAAAGCACUUCACCAAAAUGGAUAUUACUUUUUUUUUCUGUUCAUCAUCAGUCUAAACCUAUUUUUGUGGAAAUAACCCAAAUAUAAUCCUGCUUCAUUCUCAUUCUUUUCAGAUUUUUUUUUGAUAAAAUUAUACUGCUGUAUCUUUGGAUGAUUCCAGCUAAUUUCAGCUGUGGUAGAGAUUUUCUUGCAAAGGCAUUUCAUUUACAUCUCAGUUCUGUUUGCAGUCUCAACAAAGCUGUUAUAAGUCCUACAAAAAAAAGCAGGGUUUCCUAUAUCUUUUGACUGUAGGGGUUGUUAAUUCCAGGUGCUUCAAGCCAAGAGAAAAGGAGCAGGCCUGGAAAAACCACAUCCUCUCCCAGGAGCAGAGCUUUUGCCUGGCCGUGUGUACUCAAUUCCGACUGGUUCCACAGCUAUUGUGCAAGCGGGGCUCAGCACAGAGCUUGACCUGCUGAUUUUGCAAGCGUCACUUUAAGUCUUAGACGUGCUCUUAUCCCAUUGAAGCAAACAACUGAUCUUUGGGCAAAAUGAAUGUUCUCUACUGAGCUGUCCUGAGCCAGUACUUGGCUGCUGCAGCUUUUUCUGCUGUUUCCUACAAAACCCUCUGUGUCUGACCACUGGGUGUCAGUGAAAGACUGUGGAGUAAUUUUCUGUAAUUAAAUAUACAUGAGUUUCUCUGGUCUCUGUGGGUGUUCCCCAGUUAAGGUGGCCUGGGCAGUUUGGAGCUAACAUGCACACCAGGAGUGUAUGAUUACUGGGAAAAAACUCUCCAAUCAGUAAAUCUCUUUAUUCAUUUAUAUGAAAUAAAUAAUUAUACCACGGGCA
rnacentral:lncRNA from 1 species